CACUCCUACGGGAGGCAGCAGUGGGGAAUAUUGCACAAUGGGCGCAAGCCUGAUGCAGCCAUGCCGCGUGUAUGAAGAAGGCCUUCGGGUUGUAAAGUACUUUCAGCGGGGAGGAAGGCAAUACGGUUAAUAACCGUGUUGAUUGACGUUACCCGCAGAAGAAGCACCGGCUAACUCCGUGCCAGCAGCCGCGGUAAUACGGAGGGUGCAAGCGUUAAUCGGAAUUACUGGGCGUAAAGCGCACGCAGGCGGUCUGUCAAGUCGGAUGUGAAAUCCCCGGGCUCAACCUGGGAACUGCAUUCGAAACUGGCAGGCUUGAGUCUUGUAGAGGGGGGUAGAAUUCCAGGUGUAGCGGUGAAAUGCGUAGAGAUCUGGAGGAAUACCGGUGGCGAAGGCGGCCCCCUGGACAAAGACUGACGCUCAGGUGCGAAAGCGUGGGGAGCAAACAGGAUUAGAAACCCUAGUAGUCCCAU
rnacentral:rRNA from 1 species